rnacentral:rRNA from 1 species
GACGAACGCUGGCGGCGUGCUUAACACAUGCAAGUCGAACGGACAGGCCCUGCUUUUGUGGGUUGCUCGAGUGGCGAACAGGUGAGUAACACGUGAGUAACAUGCCCUUGAAUUUGGGAUAACUUCAGGAGACUGGGGCUAAUACAGCAUAUAAGCUACUGCUGCAUGGUGGGGGUUGGAAAGUUUCGGCGGUUGGGGAUGGUCUCGCGGCUUAUGAGCUUGUUGGUGGGGUAGUGGAUUACCAAGGCUUUGAUGGGUAGCCGGCCUGAGAGGGUGACCGGGCACAGUGGGACUGAGAGACGGCCCAGACUGCUACUGGAGGCAGGAGUGGGGACUAUAGCACAAUGGGCGGAAGCCGGAUGCAGCAACGCCGCGUGCUGGAUGACGGCCUUCGGGUUGUAAAAAGCUUGCGCCUGUGACGAAGCGUCUUGGACGGUAAUGGGUAAAGAAGCACCGCCUAACUACGG